rnacentral:rRNA from 1 species
AAUCUUGCGCAAUGGGCGAAAGCCUGACGCAGCCAUGCCGCGUGAAUGAUGGAGGUCUUAGGAUUGUAAAAUUCUUUCACCGGGGACGAUAAUGACGGUACCCGGAGAAGAAGCCCCGGCUAACUUCGUGCCAGCAGCCGCGGUAAUACGAAGGGGGCUAGCGUUUCUCGGAAGUACUGGGCGUAAAGGGCGCGUAGGCGGACAUUUAAGUCAGGGGUGAAAUCCCAGAGGUCAACUCUGGAACUGCCUUUGAGAAUGGGUGUCUUGAGUGUGAGAGAGGUAUGUGGAACUCAGAGUGUAGAGGUGAAAUUCGUAGAUAUUCGGAAGAAAACCAGUGGCGAAGGAGACAUACUGGCUCAGUACUGACGCUGAGGCGCGAAAGCGUGGGGAGCAAACAG